rnacentral:rRNA from 1 species
GGCGAACGGGUGAGUAACACGUGGUUAACCUGCCGGGAUGUGGGGGAUACCCCGGGGAAACCCGGGCUAAUACCGCAUGAUGUCCUCCGGGCGCUGGCCUGGGGGAGCAAAGCCGGGGAUCGCAAGACCUGGCGCAUUCCGAGGGGACCGCGGCCGAUUAGCUAGUUGGCGGGGUAACGGCCCACCAAGGCGACGAUCGGUAGCCGGCCUGAGAGGGUGAUCGGCCACACCGGAACUGAGACACGGUCCGGACUCCUACGGGAGGCAGCAGUGGGGAAUUUUGCGCAGUGGGCGAAAGCCUGACGCAGCAACGCCGCGUGGAGGAUGAAGGUUCUCUGAAUCGUAAACUCCCGUCGGCCGGGACGAAUGAACGGAAUGCUAAUCAGUUCCGUUUUGACUGUACCGGCAAAGGAAGCCCCGGCUAACUCCGUGCCAGCAGCCGCGGUAAUACGGAGGGGGCAAGCGUUACUCGGAAUUAUUGGGCGUAAAGGGCGCGUAGGCGGUCCCGCACGUCGGAGGUGAAAUCCCCGGGCUCAACCCGGGAGCUGCCUCUGAUACGGCGGGGCUUGAGUCCGGGAGAGGGGAGCAGAAUUCCC